GAUGAACGCUGGCGGCGUGCCUAAUACAUGCAAGUCGAGCGAACGGACGCGAAGCUUGCUUGUCUGUCGUUAGCGGCGGACGGGAGAGACACGCGUGUAUCCCCCACUUGUCUGUCUGGGAUAUUCUCGGGAAACCGGCGCUAAUAGCGGAUAAUAUUUUGCACCGCAUGGUUCAAAAGUGAAAGUCGGUCUUGCUGUCACUUAUAGAUGGAUAUCCGCUGCAUUGGCUAGUUGGUAAGGUCAAGGCUUAUCAAGGCGAGUAUGCAUAGCCGACCUGAGAGGGUGAUCGGCCACACUGGAACGGGGACACGGUCCAUGGGCCUGCGAGAGGCAGCAGUAGGGAAUCGUCCGCAAUGGGCGGAAGCCUUACGGAGCAGCGCCGCGUGAGAUAUGAAGGUCUUCGGAUCGUGAAGCUCGGUUAUGAGGGAAGAACAGAUGUGGAAGGAGCUGUGCAGAUCGUGACGGUACCUAGUCAGAAAGCCACGGCUAACUACGUG
rnacentral:rRNA from 1 species